GGGGUUGUGGCUCAAGUGGUAGAGCGCUCGCCUAGAACGUGUGGGGCACUAGGUUUGAUCCUCAGCACCA
rnacentral:tRNA from 1 species